AUAUAUAUAUAUAUAUAUAUAUAUAUACACGCUUCAUCUAAAGUUAACAUAAGUACGGAAAAAAAAUAAAAAUUCAUAUAUAUGGCAUAUGCCCGGAUACAUUUACGAAAAAAUGCGGAAUAUGUUAAUAAUUAACUCAUUAAAAAUAUACACUUUAAUUCGUUCACUUUUUUUUCAUUUAAUUUUUUUUUUUUUUUUUUUUUUUUUUUUUUUUUUUUUUUUUUUUUUUNNNNNNNNNNUUUUUUUUUUUUUUUUUUUUUUUUUUUUUUUUUUUUUUUUUUUUUUUUUUUUUUUUUUUUUUUCUUUUUUUUUUUUUCUCUUCUUUUUUUUCACAUUUCUUUCAUUGUUUUUUUUAGAUUUCUUCUGGUUAUAUUGCUUAUUAUUAAAUUGUUCAUCAUCACUUACUACAGUGUUUAACAUAUCAUUAUUCAACAACUUAUCAUCUUUACGAGGGGUUAAAAAUGAACCACCACACGAGGAAGUAGAACAAGAAGAAGGCAUAGAAGUAACAAACGAAGAAACCAAAGAAGUAGUAUGUGAAGUAACUGAUAAAGAAAAUGUGUCAGAGUCAAAUGAAGAAGAAAAGGAGUUGCUUGAAUUGUGCAAAGAAGAAUUAAAAUUUCCCGAUGACAUGGGAUCAGAUGAAUUAGAUGCUGAUGAUAAUUUAUUUUUAAUUGAUUUUUCAUAUUUUUCAAUAAAAUAGUUUGAACUCGUAUUUUUAUUAUCCCAAGUAGAAUCAUAAUUGGAAGAAUGUGCAAGAUUCUUAUUAUAAGAGUUUUGUAUAUGUAGUCGUCUGUUUAGUGCACGUUCACCAUUUAAAACAUCAUGACUGGUAUUACUGUCCAUUACGUAUUUUGUGUCGUUGUUCAAAUUAUCUUUUAAAUUUAUAGUAUCAUUUCCAAUAGGAUCAUUCUUAUUACAACUAUUUCUGUAACCAUUAGUAAUUAUAUUAUUUACGUUUUUAUUAGAGUUAUUAAUAUUUUCUUUUUUGGCGACUCUUUUUUCGUCUGUAAAUUUAUCAGUAGUUGAUUGCUUCGCAUCGUCCCUAUUUGAAUUAUACGAUGAUUUUGUCAGUAGUUUAUUUUUCAAACUAUGUGUAUCAUCCAAUUCGCUGAUAGGAAUAAGCGAGCUUUUAUUAUGUCCAAUGUGGCUAGGAUGCUUGUUAUUAUUAUAAUCUUUUUUAGUUUCUUUUUUAAACUUUUUUCUUUGUAUCUUUUUAAUAUUAGUUGACCCGUAGGUUCGAUCACCAAUAGAACACAUAUUAAAACACAUGUCAUUAUUAGUAAGAGUUCCAGUUUUAUCUGUAAAUAUAAAAUCGACAUUACCUAAAUCUCCGUGCAUAUUAGAGUUUAAGCAAAGUCCCCAUCCAUAUUUAGAAUUAUUUGACAUAAUUUUGUCAUUAUAAUGACUAGAGUUAUAAGGGCUACCCUUAUAACAACUAUCAUUAAAAUAACUUACAGGGUUAUGACCACCACUUUCAUAAUGACUAUUUUUUAAAACACAACUAUUACCAGUUUGUGAAAUCAAACUUUUCUUUUUUUUUAAAUCAUAAUAUGUUGUUUGGUUCUUUUUAUUAUUAUUAAAAAAAAAAGGAAAAAUAUUAUGCAAAAUAUUUUUUUUCUUUUUUUCAUUAUAAUAAUCAUUAUUAUUGAUAAGAAUUCCUUUAUUAGUACCAAGACGUGCAUAAUUCUUAUUUAUAUCUCCAUUAAUGUUUGUGACUAUUUUACCAGUACUUUCACUUUCUUGUUUAUUUUUUAUAUUAUCCAAAAACUUGUUAUUUAAAUCUUCAUUAUCUUUAAGUUCGUAUGUUAAUGUAUUUGAUUCACCAUUUUUAUCACAUUUGAGAAAAUUUUUACAAUCGUAGUUAUUGUUCUUAUCACCAUUAUCACCGUUAUCACCAUUACCAACGUUAUCAUUAUUUAUGUUUUUUUUCAUAUUACGUAUAUCUUCUUUAUUAAAAAUAAAAUAAUUUUUUAUUUUUUUACUAAUGGCGAU
rnacentral:lncRNA from 1 species